UUGACUCUUCGUCUUAUUUUAAAAAAAAUUUACGAUUAAUAUUUUUAUUUUUAUUAGAUGAUAAAAUAUAAAAAGUAUUUUAUGUAUGACUAAUUGUUUUAAAUUUUAUUAAAAAAUUUUUAAAUAAGACGGACGGUCAA
rnacentral:pre_miRNA from 1 species